CUUUCUAAUACCCAACUCAGACAAGUCGGCACCAACACUUCUUCCACUAACACUCUCUCUGAUCAACCAAGACCACAAACUCUGGUAACAAAAAGAGCACCAGACUUAUGAAUCCCUUUCCUCAGCCAGUCCUUCUGUUCUUUUCCCUGCACCAUCUUUCAGUGGUUCAAUUAUCAGUAUUCUGUGGAAUAAACUGGAUGACUUCGCUGUAGUAAGUUAGAAACAGCAUACUUCACCAGGAUACUGACAGCUCAGAUUAGUUCCAUGUUCUGGUUCAUUACAUAACUUCACAAACUACACUUCAACGAAGGCUGCAAAGAGGCCAAUGAGUACAGAUGAUACUCAACAUCAGAAUCAUCAUUCAAGAAGACAGGUGAAAAUUUUCAGAAGGAAUAAAAACACUACAGAUGGAAAAGAAAGUCAAAGAUUGACAAUAAUGAAAUUGGUAUCUGAAAGUAAAUGACCACCAGCAAGAUGCAGAGCUCAUACAACCCCCAGUCUCCCUAGGAAUACAUAUUCAGAAAUGUCAUAUUCUUCUCAGAUCAGUUUACUAACUCUUCUUGGAUAUCACAUAUUUACAAAUCACCUUUGGAACUCUAUUGGCAACAGUGUGAAAGAAGAUAACAGCAAUGUGAUGAGAAAUGUGAAAAGCUGCAGGAUAGUUUGCAGAAUAUUAAAUUGUCUCUAAUUUCAAGAA